GCAUAACGCGAAGAACCUUACCUAGGCUUGACAUGCAUCUCUAAGCACGUGAAAGCGUGUGACCCUUCGGGGAAUUUGCACAGGUGCUGCAUGGCCGUCGUCAGCUCGUGUCGUGAGAUGUUGGGUUAAGUCCCGCAACGAGCGCAACCCCUGUGAUUAGUUGCCAGCGGAUAAUGCCGGGGACUCUAGUCAGACUGCCCAGAUCAACUGGGAGGAAGGUGGGGACGACGUCAGGUCAGUAUGGCCCUUACGCCUUGGGCUGCACACGUACUACAAUGCCCAGUACAAUGAGAACCGAGACCGCGAGGUGGAGGAAAUCUGCAAAACUGGGCCCAGUUCGGAUUGGAGGCUGCAACUCGCCUCCAUGAAGCCGGAAUCGCUAGUAAUGCUGCAUCAGCUACGGCAGCGUGAAUACGUUCCCGGGUCUUGUACACACCG
rnacentral:rRNA from 1 species